CCUCCCUCGCCCAAUCUCUCUACUGUUGGAAAGGUUCAAUCGAAGCCCUCUUCUGCUGGAAGGGCUUCUUCUUUUCGGGUCAAACCUUCGUCCUCUUCAGGGACUCCUGGAACUGUGCGUCUGGGUUCUUGGGCUGUCUCCUCCAAUCUCUCUAUUGAUAGGCCUCCUUUAGUGGAAGCCAACGGGCCGGGGGGGGAAAGACUUUUGUGGCUGAGGUUUCUCAGGUGGAGCCUGCUGCUGGUUCUUCUCCUCCUGCGGAGGUUAAGGAUGCUGCAAAGUCUUCUACAUCUAAUGUCGCAUCUGCUGGUGUUGAUUUCAGAAUGGUGUAAGCCUUGGGUUUUAAGUUUAGUGGGUAGGUUUUUGGGGGGUCUUCCUCCGCCGCACAUCCUUGUAACAAAGAUGCGGAAGGUUUCUUCUCCUCCCUUGGUAAUGGAUAUGCAGAACAACUUUUUUUAGUUUCGGUUUCAAUCUGAAGACGAUAUGGUCUCUGUGCUUACUUCAGGGCCAUAGUCAUUGAGGGGCCACUUCUUGCAUUCUUCCCAUGGCGUCCCAACUUCAAUCCUCUAACUGAAACCCUCAAAUCCUCCCCGGUGUGGAUUCAGCUUCCGGAAGGACUGUCUCUCUAGUAUUAUAUGCAUGCGCUUGGUCGACCGAUCAAAAUUGACGAAUGAUCUCUUAAAUUUGAACGUGGACGUUUUGCACGGAUUUGUGUAGAAAUUGGUCUUUCUGUUCCCCUUCAGCAAGGAGUGUAGAUUGGUGAAUCCGUUUCUUUCAAGCGUGUUCUUAUGAGAACUUCUCCUCUGUCUGUUUUCACUGUGGGUGCAUUGGCCAUAAGCUUGCGGAUUGUCCCUCUAAGUUGGAGGAUUGGGUCACUAGUGCUCCGGCGGCAUGGCUGGCAUCCCUGGCAACAGGAGUAACCCCCUCGGGGAACAUUGAACCAUCAACCCUUGGAGAGGGCACGAACCAACAGGCGGCCCUGGAUUUGUGCGUAGGGGUCGGCGCUCCUUCGCGGUGCCAGAGAUGAUGCUUCCCUCUCGUGCGAAACAUGGGACUGCUCUGGGAUCCGACGUCUCGGUUACUGUACCGAUUUCAGCUGGUGUCAUUAAUAUUGUGCAGGAUAUGACGUUACAGCCUGAGGUAGUUUCUGGCUCUGUUCGACAAGAGGUGUUGCUCGUUGGUGGAUCACAGUCCGAUCUGGCUGCCGCUGGUGUGGACUUGGGUGCGAGCUGCUGCUUCCAGUGACGAGCCCAAUGGAUGAGCUGUUGCUCCUGCGGGAGUAACUGAAUCCGCUUCGUCGGAUGUGAGGCUUCGUGCUUCUCGAUGGUUGGAGCGGACAGUUACUGCUCAUUUCCCUAGGGUUUCUAGUGCUGAGCGUGCGACCAAGCUUUCUGGGUAACCGACGAAUGGGGGACAGUUUUAAAGAGAUGGUGGCUGCGGCCCUGCUAGCCUUCGUCAAGAGGCCUGCUUCGCCGGAUGGAACUCCUCGAGCGGGUGAAGUGACAGAUGGCCUCCCGAGGGCUUCUGCUAGCUCAGUUCAGGAGGUGACGCAUGGGAGACCGGAAGCAAAGGCGGUGGUUGCACGGUUGAAGUCGACGCGGGGGCCGUGGUUCCCAAUCUUCCCGCUGGACGUCCUUUUCACCUGUUCUCAAAUCUCCUCCGUGUUGGGAAAUUUCUGUUCUCUUUUUAUGAAUAUUCCUAGUUGGAAAUAACUACCAUGGGCUGAGGAGAAGGCCGGCAGUGGAUUGCAUUCUGUAUAA